AGUAAUGCAAGGCAUACGGCUCAGUAAUACGUAGUCAACUUACCCUAUGGACGAGGAUAAUCUCGGGAAACUGAGCAUAAUACUCGAUAGAUCAUAAUGCCUGGAAUGGUUUAUGGUCGAAAUGAUUCGUCGCCAUAGGAUGGGACUGCGGCCUAUCAGCUUGUUGGUGAGGUAAUGGCCCACCAAGGCGAUUACAGGUACGGGCUCUGAGAGGAGAAGCCCGGAGAUGGGUACUGAGACAAGGACCCAGGCCCUAUGGGGCGCAGCAGGCGAGAAAACUUUGCAAUGUGCGAAAGCACGACAAGGUUAAUCCGAGUGAUUUCUGCUAAAGAAAUCUUUUGCAAGUCAUAAAACCACUAGUGAAUAAGGGGUGGGCAAGUUCUGGUGUCAGCCGCCGCGGUAAAACCAGCACCUCAAGUGGCCAGGAGGAUUAUUGGGCCUAAAGCAUCCGUAGCCGGCUCUGUAAGUUUUCGGUUAAAUCCAUGUGCUCAACGCAUGGGCUGCCGAAAAUACUGCAUAGCUAGGGAGUGGGAGAGGUAGACGGUACUCGGUAGGAAGGGGUAAAAUCCUUUGAUCUAUCGAUGACCACCUGUGGCGAAGGCGGUCUACCA
rnacentral:rRNA from 1 species